AUUGAACGCUGGCGGCAGGCCUAACACAUGCAAGUCGAGCGAGCGGCGGACGGGUGAGUAAUGUAUGGGGAUCUGCCUGAUAGAGGGGGAUAACUACUGGAAACGGUGGCUAAUACCGCAUACUAUCGGAUGAACCCAUAGGGGAUUAGCUUGUAGGUGGGGUAAAGGCUCACCUAGGCGACUAUCUCUAGCUGGUCUGAGAGGAUGAUCAGCCACACUGGAACUGAUACACGGUCCAGACUCCUACGGGAGGCAGCAGGGGGGAAUAUUGCACAAUGGGCGCAAGCCUGAUGCAGCCAUGCCGCGUGUGUGAAGAAGGCCUUCGGGUUGUAAAGCACUUUCAGCGAGGAGGAGUUACUGGCAGAAGAAGCACCGGCUAACUCAGUGCCAGCAGCCGCGGUAAUUC
rnacentral:rRNA from 1 species